rnacentral:rRNA from 1 species
GCAAGUCGAACGGUGAAGCCCAGCUUGCUGGGUGGAUCAGUGGCGAACGGGUGAGUAACACGUGAGCAACCUGCCCCUGACUCUGGGAUAAGCGCUGGAAACGGCGUCUAAUACUGGAUAUGUACCACGAUCGCAUGGUCUGUGGUUGGAAAGAUUUUUCGGUUGGGGAUGGGCUCGCGGCCUAUCAGCUUGUUGGUGAGGUAAUGGCUCACCAAGGCGUCGACGGGUAGCCGGCCUGAGAGGGUGACCGGCCACACUGGGACUGAGACACGGCCCAGACUCCUACGGGAGGCAGCAGUGGGGAAUAUUGCACAAUGGGCGCAAGCCUGAUGCAGCAACGCCGCGUGAGGGAUGACGGCCUUCGGGUUGUAAACCUCUUUUAGCAGGGAAGAAGCGAAAGUGACGGUACCUGCAGAAAAAGCGCCGGCUAACUACGUGCCAGCAGCCGCGGUAAUACGUAGGGCGCAAGCGUUAUCCGGAAUUAUUGGGCGUAAAGAGCUCGUAGGCGGUUUGUCGCGUCUGCUGUGAAAUCCGGAGGCUCAACCUCCGGCCUGCAGUGGGUACGGGCAGACUAGAGUGCGGUAGGGGAGAUUGGAAUUCCUGGUGUAGCGGUGGAAUGCGCAGAUAUCAGGAGGAACACCGAUGGCGAAGGCAGAUCUCUGGGCCGUAACUGACGCUGAGGAGCGAAAGGGUGGGGAGCAAACAGGCUUAGAUACCCUGGUAGUCCACCCCGUAAACGUUGGGAACUAGUUGUGGGGUCCAUUCCACGGAUUCCGUGACGCAGCUAACGCAUUAAGUUCCCCGCCUGGGGAGUACGGCCGCAAGGCUAAAACUCAAAGGAAUUGACGGGGACCCGCACAAGCGGCGGAGCAUGCGGAUUAAUUCGAUGCAACGCGAAGAACCUUACCAAGGCUUGACAUAUACGAGAACGGGCCAGAAAUGGUCAACUCUUUGGACACUCGUAAACAGGUGGUGCAUGGUUGUCGUCAG